GCUGGGUGUGGUGGUGCGCUCCUGUAGUCCCAGCUACUUGGGAGGCUGAGGCAGAAGAAUUGCUUGAACCUGGGAGGCGAAGGUUGCAGUGAGCCGAGAUGGGGCCACUGCACUCCAGCCUAGGUGACAGAGCGAGACUCAGUCUCAA
rnacentral:SRP_RNA from 1 species